UAGCUUAACCUUCGGGAGGGCGCUUACCACUUUGUGAUUCAUGACUGGGGUGAAGUCGUAACAAGGUAACCGUAGGGGAACCUGCGGUUGGAUCACCUCCUUACCUGAAGAUAC
rnacentral:rRNA from 1 species